ACUCCUACGGGAGGCAGCAGUGAGGAAUAUUGGUCAAUGGGCGCAAGCCUGAACCAGCCAUGCCGCGUGCAGGAAGAAUGCCCUAUGGGUUGUAAACUGCUUUUAUUUAGGAAUAAACCUCCUUACGUGUAGGGAGCUGAAGGUACUAAAUGAAUAAGCACCGGCUAACUCCGUGCCAGCAGCCGCGGUAAUAC
rnacentral:rRNA from 1 species